rnacentral:rRNA from 13 species
CUCGGACAAGUCUUCCUGGAACGGAGCGCCAUAGAGGGUGAGAGCCCCUUGAUCCGAGUCCUCCUCAGGCGGGAUUAACUUGAGACUUGCGGAGUAGUACUGCUUGGGAAUGCAGUGCGAAGGGCAGGUAUACCUCUGCCAAGGCUAAAUAUCUUGGGAAGACCGAUAGCAUACAAGUAGCGUGAGCGAAAGAUGAAAAGCACUUUGGAGAGAGAGUGAAAUAGCACCUGAAGCCGUCAUAAGAUAA